CCAAGAGCCGCCUAGAGCACAAGUCCUGCUAGUCGCCUCCGUCUGGGUACCAGCCCCCUAUUACUCUGCAGGCGUGUGAAGAAAGAAGGAAACUAGCUCGGACUGUGCAGGUUUGUAGGUCUGUUGGCCUGUAGGUUUCGGCACAAGUCUCAGCAAGAGAAGGAGAAAACUGCCUUGGUUGGAACCUUGCAGACUCUAUCCUCUAUCACUGUGGAGGGACCACUGACAACAGAAGACAAGGGAAAACCAAGGAAUUUACCUGACUUUGGUAGAGGUUAGUGAGAGAAACUGCCCUUAAUCUUUGGAAGUGGAGGUCUGGUGAAGGAGACUACCUGAGAGGUACUCACACUGUCACCCUCCUAGCUAUCAUAGCACAGACCCGUCUCCUGCCCUUCCCUGUGGACCCAGAAAGAGAAAUGGG
rnacentral:lncRNA from 1 species